GCCCGGUCAGCUCCUCUCUUCAAAGCCACGCUUGUUUGCUUGCUCUCUCUCUCUCUCUCUCUCUCUCUCUCUCUCUCUCUCUCUCUCUCUCUCUCUCUCUCUCUCUCUCUCUCUCUCUGUUUUUUUAAUCUCAAGGCCUUUGCACUUUCAAAGGACCCCUUGUGUGGGGGAUGAAGUCAGGCGCUUUUGUCUUGUGCAUGCGAUUUUUCUAAAUGAACUUGCAAACACAGAGGAGCCCAGCUUCAGAACAAUGAGACGACGCUGUGGCUUGGCCCAUUGGAGGAAAUGAACAGGAGCUGCCCAGAUGGGACGGGUAUGACAUCACCUGUGGAGACUCACCUGACUGCUGAACCUAAUGAAGUAAGGCUUGGGAUCGCGUUCCUUCAAGCAGUAAUGCCUUAGCAACACGAAGGAGGGCCAGCCAGAUGCGAGCCCCUUCCCCUAGGAUCCAUGGCUGCAGAAGGCAGCGUGUGACACGCAGGAGGACAGCAGGCAGGAGCUGAGCUUUGGGAAUUCAAGGCUGCCAAUGUACCAGCACCAUCACUUUGUAGCCUGGUGACCUCAGCCUAACUUCGUGAGCUUCUCUGCGUCUCUGCUCCUGCAGGCGAUAAAAGGCAGCAUCAGGCCUGCGUCGUGGGGCUGUGGCGGUAAGGCGUGCACUCUGUUUGCUAGCGUGAUGUCAUUCAGGUCAUCUGGUCUUUUACAAAUAUGAAUGGAGGGCUUCCUGGGGGCAGGGCCCUACUGUGAUGAAGAACAGUCUGUCCCAGGAUGUUGUCACUUCUUAGGGAGAAGCAGGGAAGGGAGAGGCAUGCUUCGCUGUGUGACCAGCACCACAAUCCAGCCCCAGCCUUGCUGCUUGGGAAGAGGGCUCAUUAUGGAGUCCACAGAAAAUCUCCAAGGCUGGUCCAGGGCUGUUAGAUCUCCCCUCCCCCGGGGCAAACACGGACUUGCAGGGGAGGGGGCAGGGGGCCGCCUUCCCUGAGCACUUGGCCUCUGGGCAGAGCCUCUUCAAGCAGAGAGCCGUGAAUAAACAGUGAACUGUUCCAGCACA